CUGUAGCCAGUGAAGGCAACAGAGUUCCUUUCCUUUCCUCACGGGGCCCAGGGUGCAAUGCCGGCAAGCAGCAGUCUCCUUAGGAGUGUUACAACCUGCUGCCUGCACAGGUUGCUCUAGGGGACCUUGGAGACUCAU
ensembl:snoRNA SNORA70 Small nucleolar RNA SNORA70